ACGCUCGACACCUACUGGAGGCAGCAGUAGGGAAUCUUCCACAAUGGGCGCAAGCCUGAUGGAGCAACACCGCGUGAGUGAAGAAGGGUUUCGGCUCGUAAAGCUCUGUUGUUGGAGAAGAACGUGCGUGAGAGUAACUGUUCACGCAGUGACGGUAUCCAACCAGAAAGUCACGGCUAACUACGUGCAAGCAGCCGCGGUAAUCUGGAGGCGGGCGUGGACAAGGC
rnacentral:rRNA from 1 species